rnacentral:rRNA from 1 species
GAUGAACGCUAGCUACAGGCUUAACACAUGCAAGUCGAGGGGUAACGAGAGGAAAGCUUGCUUUCCUUGUCGACGACCGGCGCACGGGUGAGUAACGCGUAUCCAACCUGCCCCCAACUAAGGAAUAACCUUGCGAAAGUAAGACUAAUACCUUAUAAUUUCCUCAGAUGUCAUCUGGCGAGGAAUAAAGAUUUAUCGGUUGUGGAUGGGGAUGCGUCUGAUUAGCUUGUUGGCGGGGUAACGGCCCACCAAGGCAACGAUCAGUAGGGGUUCUGAGAGGAAGGUCCCCCACAUUGGAACUGAGACACGGUCCAAACUCCUACGGGAGGCAGCAGUGAGGAAUAUUGGUCAAUGGGCGGAAGCCUGAACCAGCCAAGUAGCGUGCAGGAUGACGGCCCUAUGGGUUGUAAACUGCUUUUAUACAGGGAUAAAGUUAGCCACGUGUGGUUAUUUGUAGGUACUGUAUGAAUAAGGACCGGCUAAUUCCGUGCCAGCCGCCGCCGCUG